rnacentral:rRNA from 1 species
AUUGAACGCUGGCGGCAUGCUUUACACAUGCAAGUCGAACGGCAGCGGGGGCUUCGGCCUGCCGGCGAGUGGCGAACGGGUGAGUAAUGCAUCGGAACGUACCCAGUGGUGGGGGAUAGCUCGGCGAAAGCCGGAUUAAUACCGCAUACGCCCUGAGGGGGAAAGUGGGGGAUCUUCGGACCUCACGCCAUUGGAGCGGCCGAUGUCGGAUUAGCUAGUUGGUGAGGUAAAGGCUCACCAAGGCGACGAUCCGUAGCUGGUCUGAGAGGAUGAUCAGCCACACUGGGACUGAGACACGGCCCAGACUCCUACGGGAGGCAGCAGUGGGGAAUUUUGGACAAUGGGCGCAAGCCUGAUCCAGCCAUGCCGCGUGAGUGAAGAAGGCCUUCGGGUUGUAAAGCUCUUUCAGUCGGGAAGAAAAGGCGGGCUCUAACAUAGCCUGUUGCUGACGGUACCGACAGAAGAAGCACCGGCUAACUACGUGCCAGCAGCCGCGGUAAUACGUAGGGUGCAAGCGUUAAUCGGAAUUACUGGGCGUAAAGCGUGCGCAGGCGGUUUGCUAAGACAGGUGUGAAAUCCCCGGGCUUAACCUGGGAACUGCGCUUGUGACUGGCAGGCUAGAGUACGGCAGAGGGGGGUGGAAUUCCACGUGUAGCAGUGAAAUGCGUAGAGAUGUGGAGGAACACCGAUGGCGAAGGCAGCCCCCUGGGCCUGUACUGACGCUCAUGCACGAAAGCGUGGGGAGCAAACAGG